AUACAAUGAUGGUUGCAUAGUUCAGCAGACUAAAUCAUGGAGAGAAUUACCAUUUGUCUGAUGUAUCU
ensembl:snoRNA